GUGAGGAUGAGAUUGAGAGAGAGGAUUAAAGGGGGAGGAUGCGAGGGAGGAGUAACAAAAGUGAAAACAAUUUCAAAUUGAUUUCAAUUUUUAGUUUUUGUUUUCACUUUUGUUACUCAUUCCUCCCAUCCCCUCUCUCAUUUUCCCUCUCAAUCCCAUCUUCACU
rnacentral:snoRNA from 1 species